UUCCAGAGCAGACCUUCUCACUGCUUUCCUGAGGCUUCCACACAUCCUGGGAAGAUCUGGCUGACACUUGCUACUCUCAUGAAACAUACCAGGGAGGACUGGACCAUAAAAUUUGCAUCUGAAUCUACUCUUUGUCCACCCAAAACAGUUCUGAAUACAGCAGCAUAGCAAAUGAGUUGAAAUCACCCCAGACCUUAGUCAGCUGGAGCACUAAUGUGGACAGCAAGAGGAAUGCAUGGACCCUGUCUGCAGGUCAGUGGGAUCCUCAGACAAAGCUCAGGGCAGAGGCUCCUCAGCAGCAACUCACCCGCAGUGAUGCCACCAGGUCCCUGGUGAGGCAGGGGGCUUUCUGCGUCCGGGGGGCUCACACACAGCCCUGAGCAAGACUGCUCCCCUUGCCGUGUGAAAUGUGAGCAUGACAGCAUAAAAGACUCAGGACAAGGAGCAGCGGGCUUCCUGCAACUGUUUCUAAUCACAGCUUUUUUUAGGGGGGCUUCUUUUACAUUUUUUCCAUAUACAGGAAUAAGGGGGGAGGGUGGUGGGUCCCUCAUCUGCAGGUGCUUCUGUGUACUGUACAAGAUGUUUUCUACAUCAGUGGAUGAGUUCUGUAAAUUUGUCUCUGUUUUGUCAUGACCGU